rnacentral:rRNA from 1 species
GAUCCUGGCUCAGGAUGAACGCUAGCUACAGGCUUAACACAUGCAAGUCGAGGGGAAACGACAUCGAAAGCUUGCUUUUGAUGGGCGUCGACCGGCGCACGGGUGAGUAACGCGUAUCCAACCUGCCCAUCACUUGGGAAUAACCUUGCGAAAGUAAGACUAAUACCCAAUGAUAUCCCACGAAGGCAUCCGAAUGGGAUUAAAGAUUUAUCGGUGAUGGAUGGGGAUCCGNGUCUGAUUAG